rnacentral:rRNA from 1 species
GGGUUGUGAGGUUAAGCGACUAAGCGUACACGGUGGAUGCCCUGGCAGUCAGAGGCGAUGAAGGACGUGCUAAUCUGCGAAAAGCGUCGGUAAGGUGAUAUGAACCGUUAUAACCGGCGAUGUCCGAAUGGGGAAACCCAGUGCAAUUCGUUGCACUAUCGUUAACUGAAUACAUAGGUUAACGAGGCGAACCGGGGGAACUGAAACAUCUAAGUACCCCGAGGAAAAGAAAUCAACCGAGAUUCCCCCAGUAGCGGCGAGCGAACGGGGAGCAGCCCAGAGUCUGAAUCAGCUUGUGUGUUAGUGGAACGGUCUGGAAAGUCCGACGGUACAGGGUGAUAGUCCCGUACACCAAAAUGCACAGGCUGUGAACUCGAAGAGUAGGGCGGGACACGUGGUAUCCUGUCUGAAUAUGGGGGGACCAUCCUCCAAGGCUAAAUACUCCUGACUGACCGAUAGUGAACCAGUACCGUGAGGGAAAGGCGAAAAGAACCCCGGCGAGGGGAGUGAAAAAGAACCUGAAACCGUGUACGUACAAGCAGUGGGAGCACCUUCGGGUGUGACUGCGUACCUUUUGUAUAAUGGGUCAGCGACUUAUAUUCUGUAGCAAGGUUAACCGUAUAGGGGAGCCGCAGGGAAACCGAGUCUUAACUGGGCGUUAAGUUGCAGGGUAUAGACCCGAAACCCGGUGAUCUAGCCAUGGGCAGGUUGAAGGUUGGGUAACACUAACUGGAGGACCGAACCGACUAAUGUUGAAAAAUUAGCGGAUGACUUGUGGCUGGGGGUGAAAGGCCAAUCAAACCGGGAGAUAGCUGGUUCUCCCCGAAAGCUAUUUAGGUAGCGCCUCGUGAACUCAUCUUCGGGGGUAGAGCACUGUUUCGGCUAGGGGGUCAUCCCGACUUACCAACCCGAUGCAAACUACGAAUACCGAAGAAUGUUAUCACGGGAGACACACGGCGGGUGCUAACGUCCGUCGUGAAGAGGGAAACAACCCAGACCGCCAGCUAAGGUCCCAAAGUCAUGGUUAAGUGGGAAACGAUGUGGGAAGGCACAGACAGCCAGGAUGUUGGCUUAGAAGCAGCCAUCAUUUAAAGAAAGCGUAAUAGCUCACUGGUCGAGUCGGCCUGCGCGGAAGAUGUAACGGGGCUAAACCAUGCACCGAAGCUGCGGCAGCGACACUAUGUGUUGUUGGGUAGGGGAGCGUUCUGUAAGCCUGCGAAGGUGUGCUGUGAGGCAUGCUGGAGGUAUCAGAAGUGCGAAUGCUGACAUAAGUAACGAUAAAGCGGGUGAAAAGCCCGCUCGCCGGAAGACCAAGGGUUCCUGUCCAACGUUAAUCGGGGCAGGGUGAGUCGACCCCUAAGGCGAGGCCGAAAGGCGUAGUCGAUGGGAAACAGGUUAAUAUUCCUGUACUUGGUGUUACUGCGAAGGGGGGACGGAGAAGGCUAUGUUAGCCGGGCGACGGUUGUCCCGGUUUAAGCAUGUAGGCUGGUUGUCCAGGCAAAUCCGGAUAAUCAAGGCUGAGGUGUGAUGACGAGGCACUACGGUGCUGAAGUAACAAAUGCCCUGCUUCCAGGAAAAGCCUCUAAGCAUCAGGUAACAUUAAAUCGUACCCCAAACCGACACAGGUGGUCAGGUAGAGAAUACCAAGGCGCUUGAGAGAACUCGGGUGAAGGAACUAGGCAAAAUGGUGCCGUAACUUCGGGAGAAGGCACGCUGGUGUGUAGGUGAAGCCCCUGCGGGUGGAGCUGAGACCAGUCGAAGAUACCAGCUGGCUGCAACUGUUUAUUAAAAACACAGCACUGUGCAAACACGAAAGUGGACGUAUACGGUGUGACGCCUGCCCGGUGCCGGAAGGUUAAUUGAUGGGGUUAUCCGUAAGGAGAAGCUCUUGAUCGAAGCCCCGGUAAACGGCGGCCGUAACUAUAACGGUCCUAAGGUAGCGAAAUUCCUUGUCGGGUAAGUUCCGACCUGCACGAAUGGCGUAAUGAUGGCCAGGCUGUCUCCACCCGAGACUCAGUGAAAUUGAACUCGCUGUGAAGAUGCAGUGUACCCGCGGCAAGACGGAAAGACCCCGUGAACCUUUACUAUAGCUUGACACUGAACAUUGAGCCUUGAUGUGUAGGAUAGGUGGGAGGCUUUGAAGCGUGGACGCCAGUCUGCGUGGAGCCAACCUUGAAAUACCACCCUUUAAUGUUUGAUGUUCUAACGUUGGCCCCUUAUCGGGGUUGCGGACAGUGUCUGGUGGGUAGUUUGACUGGGGCGGUCUCCUCCCAAAGCGUAACGGAGGAGCACGAAGGUUAGCUAAUCCUGGUCGGACAUCAGGAGGUUAGUGCAAUGGCAUAAGCUAGCUUGACUGCGAGCGUGACGGCGCGAGCAGGUGCGAAAGCAGGUCAUAGUGAUCCGGUGGUUCUGAAUGGAAGGGCCAUCGCUCAACGGAUAAAAGGUACUCCGGGGAUAACAGGCUGAUACCGCCCAAGAGUUCAUAUCGACGGCGGUGUUUGGCACCUCGAUGUCGGCUCAUCACAUCCUGGGGCUGAAGUAGGUCCCAAGGGUAUGGCUGUUCGCCAUUUAAAGUGGUACGCGAGCUGGGUUUAGAACGUCGUGAGACAGUUCGGUCCCUAUCUGCCGUGGGCGCUGGAGAAUUGAGGGGGGCUGCUCCUAGUACGAGAGGACCGGAGUGGACGCAUCACUGGUGUUCGGGUUGUCAUGCCAAUGGCACUGCCCGGUAGCUAAAUGCGGAAGAGAUAAGUGCUGAAAGCAUCUAAGCACGAAACUUGCCCCGAGAUGAGUUCUCCCUGAGACUUUAAGUCUCCUGAAGGAACGUUGAAGACGACGACGUUGAUAGGCCGGGUGUGUAAGCGCAGCGAUGCGUUGAGCUAACCGGUACUAAUGAACCGUGAGGCUUAACCUUACAACGCCGAAG